rnacentral:piRNA from 1 species
UUCCGAAUACGUGUAGGUGAUUUCCUGA